ACUGCUCAGUAACACGUGGAUAACCUGCCCUAAGGAAGGGGAUAACCCCGGGAAACUGGGGAUAAUACCCUAUAGGUUAUAGAUGCUGGAAUGCUCUGUAACUCAAAGUUCCGGCGCCUUAGGAUGGAUCUGCGGCCGAUUAGGUUGUUGUUGGGGUAAUGGCCCAACAAGCCUGUAAUCGGUACGGGUUGUGGGAGCAAGAGCCCGGAGUUGGAUUCUGAGACACGAAUCCAGGCCCUACGGGGCGCAGCAGGCGCGAAAACUUUACAAUGCGGGCAACCGUGAUAAGGGAACCUCGAGUGCCUGUAUAUGCAGGCUGUCCAGGUGUCUAAAACACACCUGAAGAAAGGGCCGGGCAAGACCGGUGCCAGCCGCCGCGGUAAUACCGGCGGCUCGAGUGGUGGCCACUUUUAUUGGGCUUAAAGCGUUCGUAGCUGGGUUGUUAAGUCUCUUGGGAAAUCUGGCGGCUUAACCGUCAGGCGUCUAAAGGAUACUGGCAAUCUUGGAACCGGGAGAGGUGAGGGGUACUUCGGGGGUAGGAGUGAAAUCCUGUAAUCCUCGAGGGACCACCUGUGGCGAAGGCGCCUCACCAGAACGGCUUCGACAGUGAGGGACGAAAGCUGGGGGAGCAAACCGGAUUAGAUACCCGGGUAGUCCCAGCCGUAAACGAUGUGCGUUAGGUGUAUCGACGACCACGAGUCGUCGAGGUGCCGAAGGGAAACCGUGAAACGUACCGCCUGGGAAGUACGGUCGCAAGGCUGAAACUUAAAGGAAUUGGCGGGGGAGCAC
rnacentral:rRNA from 1 species